rnacentral:rRNA from 1 species
GAUGAACGCUGGCGGCGUGCCUAAUACAUGCAAGUCGAGCGAACAGACGAGGAGCUUGCUCCUCUGACGUUAGCGGCGGACGGGUGAGUAACACGUGGAUAACCUACCUAUAAGACUGGGAUAGCUUCGGGAAACCGGAGCUAAUACCGGAUAAUAUAUUGAACCGCAUGGUUCAAUAGUGAAAGACGGUUUUGCUGUCACUUAUAGAUGGAUCCGCGCCGCAUUAGCUAGUUGGUAAGGUAACGGCUUACCAAGGCGACGAUGCGUAGCCGACCUGAGAGGGUGAUCGGCCACACUGGAACUGAGACACGGUCCAGACUCCUACGGGAGGCAGCAGUAGGGAAUCUUCCGCAAUGGGCGAAAGCCUGACGGAGCAACGCCGCGUGAGUGAUGAAGGUCUUCGGAUCGUAAAACUCUGUUUUUAGGGAAGAACAAAUGUGUAAGUAACUAUGCACGUCUUGACGGUACCUAAUCAGAAAGCCACGGCUAACUACGU